AAAUUUAAAUAAUAAACUAGGAUUAGAUACCCUAUUAUUUUAAAUGUUAAUUAUAUUUACCAGGGUACUAUUAGUUAAGGUCUUUAAACCCAAAGAAUUUGGCGGUAUCUCAUUCCAUUCAGAGGAACCUACCCCGUGAUUGAUAAUACACRAUUUACUCUACUUGAUUUAUUUGUUUGUAUAUCUCCGUUAUCAGAGAAUCUUUUUAGAGUUAUAAUUCUCAAGAUUUAUAAUUAUAAAAUAUUUCAGGUCAAGGUGCAGCUUAUAGUUAAGAGGAGGUGGGUUACAAUAGAUUUUUGUUUAUAAUGGAUUUGAUGGUGAAACACUGUUAAUGAAGGUGGAUUUGAAAGUAAUUUAAUUUAUUUAAUUUAAUUGAUAUUGGCUCUGAGGUGUGUACACAUCGCCCGUCGCUCUCAUUAUUGAUUAUUCUAUUUUAUUAUUUUAAGGUAGCUUCAAUUAUAGAUGAGAUAAGUCGUAACAUAGUAGAUGUACUGGAAAGUGUAUCUAGUAAGAGUUU
rnacentral:rRNA from 1 species